AAAAUUAAUAUAUUAAUAUAUUUUUAGGUGGACAUAUCGCUGUGUACAAGAGCCACAAAGAUGGUCAAAAGUAGGUGCAACAGUAGUCGUAACAUUUACAUACUGGUGGUUUUAUUGGAACUUGUAUCAUGAGUUUGGUUCAGUCAUAGGAUAUUAUGGUGCUACAACAUUACCAAAUCCUAAAAAAUGGACAGACGAAGAACUUGGCAUCCCUUCGACCUAUGCAUAAAUUACAAAUACAUAGAAUAUUUAAUGUACUAUAUCAGUUAUUAUAGAUUCGUCAAAUGUGAUUAAAAAUAUAAUUAUUUGGAUUUCUUAUUAUAUUGGUACAUAAUUUGUCAAAGUAGGACAAUGACACAAACAACUCUUAUAUAAAAUGGACCAAGCGAAGAACUCUAAUAGUCAAAGGAAUUCAGUAAUAAUAAAUUAAUUAUAUAAUAUUAAGUUUCAUUUUGUAAAUGAAUAGUAAGAAAAAUAU